AAUAUGGAAACUUGAAUAUCUUCUUCUUCUUCUUCCUUCUCCUUUCU
rnacentral:sRNA from 1 species